rnacentral:pre_miRNA from 1 species
GAGGUACUCCUUCCGUCCAGAAAUACUUGUCCUAUAAAUGGUUGUAUCUAGACUUAUUUUAGUUAUAGAUACAUUCAUUUUAUUCAUUUCUAGGACAAGUAUUUCCGGAUGAAGGGAGUACUAG